AACAAUAAAUAUCUAUUAUGUGGCACCACGUACAUGUUAUCCAAUUCAAUUCCUUCUUUCUCGAUAGUUCUACCAUUGUCCCUUCUUUUAUAUAUAGGAUAUCCAUCUUCAUCAAUUGUGGUAUUUUCUACAAACUUCUUUGGAAGUGUUUUGUACAUCUACCAUUACGCAUGCAAGGAGAGGAUUUUCUAGCAGAACCACACGGGUCAUGCAUCAUGAAAUUCUUCACAGCCUUAUAAUAAUACGGAUCAACCGAUUCAUCAGGUAUUUCUGCAAAAAUUAUUUGAUCAAUAUCUCCAACAUUAGGAUAUUUAUUAUGAAAAAAGAGCAAUAUGUGUGCAUGAGGCAACCCUCGCUUUUGGAAUUCUAUAGUAUAUAUCACUGCAAAUAAUAAUUAUUUGCGAUUGGGGUAAGUGGUUGUAGUUUAUAUGUAAGACAAAAUGAUUUAUUCAAUUAGAUUAUAAAAAUUAAAAGAAUUUAUUUAAAAAGAUGAAAUGUAUACCUGAUUUAACUGAUCCAAAAAUUUGUUUCUAUUUCAAAUCCUUUAGUAAACGAUCCAAUUUGAUCGUGAACACCCUAGCUAAAAUGUCUGGGCGAUCUUUUGGUUGCAAGCCUUUGCUCUUUACAAAUCUACUAAUUUCAGGCCACUUUGGAUUGCAAGUAAAUGUGAUGAAGAGAUUUGGAUAUCCAGCCCACUUGCAAAUUGCCAUAGCAUCUUGAUAAUUUUGGAUCAUGUAUCUUGCACCUCAUGUGAAGCUGGAUGAAAGAAUUAUCCUUUUACCUUGAGAAGAAGGAUUUAUCUCUCCAUGUAAAACUGCAUCUUCUAAUCCUUUAUACAUAUGAGCUC
rnacentral:lncRNA from 1 species